UACUCAAAUCAAACCCAAACCAAUUUCAGUCCAAAAAAAACUUGUCCAAAAAAUUAAAAAAGGAAGAAGAGUGAGAUCUAAUGAAACCCUAGAUCUACUUGCCGCAUCUCUUCGCCAUUGUCACCGUCAAGCUUGCCAUAGUGUUUGAGAUCAGAGGGAGACGCAUGAAUCUCACCGCAGUCAAAGACGCCGACGAAGUCAUGGAGAGGUACGUUGAGGACACGCUUGCAAUCCUCCCUCCUCUUAAGGAUUGCUACCGCACGUGCUGCGGCGGCGCGCCGUCACAUGAGAAGCUUAGCCUCGUGGACGUUGGAACAGGUGCUGGUCUUCCCGGAGUUAUUUUUGUCAUAGCUUGUUCAGGUUGCAUCUAUGGAUGAUUGGGGUCUGUCAGCCUGUUCCCUGUCCAAUGGCACCAUCUUCUCCUUCUUUUUCUCUUGCUUUUUCUUUGUUGCAUGUCUUUUGUGUUUCUUUGCCGCCUCUUAACACCGUCUCCAUUGGUUUUUAUGAUUGUUGUUACUGAUUGUUAUUGUUUUUGUUACUGAUGGCAAGAAAGUUUCACGCCAAGACAUUGAGCUGGAAGUAUGACAAGAAAGUAUGGCAGAAGCUGGAAGAAGAGAAUGAUGAUUUGUUCAAUCAUUUCCACCCCUGUAAACACAUUUUCACUCUCAUUUUCUGGUACUUUUUUUUAAGUCUACCUUUUGCUAUGAUUGAUGUCAUAACCUGUAUUGUUCAAUUUUCUUUGAAGUGGUAUCUUCCUUAUUAGCAAUAGUUGUGAAGAAUAAUUUUUCUUAUUAGGUUUUGAUCAACAUAAUGUAGCAAAUACUAUCUAAAUUAUUCCUAAUAUGAUGUUAGCUCUACCGUGUACUUUCAGAAGAAGGUGGUUUAAGAAAAUGGUUGGUUCUGCUUUUCUAGUACUUGCUACAAAUUCCUAUUAUUAGGGGUAAAAAAAUAUGAAUUUUCUGCAGAGAUUGGUUAUUUAUUCGGGGAUACAAGUGAGCAUUGCAGGUUUUUCUUGCCAUCUAUUCAUUCUUGUUUAUUCUUUAGUUUUACCACACUUCUGCUUUUAAAAUUUCACGUCUAUGAACCUACUUAAAUACUAAUGAAUUUUAUAUUUUUGAAAUUCUAGCACAUUUAAAGACACCUGAACAAGAGGUGCUCUUGUAUUUAUUCUUGGGUUCUGAAUGCUGGAUCUUGCCAACAAUACUUUGCAGGUUAUUGAUGAGAAGAGUGUACUGAAAACUUGAGAUCGAAAAAGAAAUUGCUGAGAGAAGUUCUUGUUAGGAAAACUAUAUGUACAAAUAUGUGGAUCCUAUUAAAUCGCGUUCUGAUUUUAAAAAUGCUUUCAUGUACUCAAAAAGAACAAUGGGUCUUUACAAAAGAUUCUUCAGGAAUCUUUGAAAAAGCUAUAUGUGCCAACUUUGAUCCAAUGGCAAUGUUGCCAUUUGCUUCUUAUGUGUGCCAUACGAUCGAAGAGUGAAAUUCUAUUUAAGAGAUGCUGGCUUUUAUAAUGUGUCUCAAAUUCGAAAAAUUGUAGGACAAACGGCCCUGAUCAAUACUUUAGUAGAAAGGUGGAAUCCAGUUACUCAUACAUUUUAUCUUUCCAUAGCUGAAUGUACUGUCACUUUAAAAGAUGUAGUAUUGAUUCUCAGAAUUUAAAAAAAUAGUCUACCAGUUACAGGGCCAACUGCCAGCAAUCACGAACUCAUGCAACAAGAAUGCUUGUUGAACUUUGGAGUUGCACCCACAACGAGUAAUUGUAGAGGUAGCUUUAUGAAGCUAACGUGAUUGCGUAAAAUUAAACAUGAUAUAAUGUUGACUGAUUAUGAGGCAUGGAGUGUUAUACCAGGUGCCACAUCAUGUUGUUAUUUGGUCUUUGUGUAAGGCUAUGCAAUAUGAUUGCAAGGAUUUGGAUGGGCCGUUAACACUGCUGCACGUAUGGGUUUGGGAGCGAAUGCCUUUUCUUGCAUCAAUGCGUCGUCCAUCGACAUUUCCGUUAGCUUAUUGAAUGAGUAUCAUUGUCUUUCGACGGAGUAUAAACGCUUGACACCUGCACAUGUCAGGCAUAUGCUUGAUAAUAUGCAGAAUGAUAACUUUGUGUGGGACCCAUAUAGUCCGCGGAUUCUAGGCCCCGAUUUCGUGCUACAUACAUGAUAUCUAUGAGGAUCCACACUUUUGGUUGUCACCGUCUCCUCUUAGUUUCUUUGAGUGCAUUGAGUGGUGUCCAACUAACAGGGUUAAGCGACAAUUUGGGAGGCGACAAGAUAACUCCGGAGAACCCGAAGAUUCUCGGAGAUGCACACAACAAGUUGUUGAUGGGUCCAAAAAAUUUGAACCAGGCCAACCAGUAGAGUGAAUGGAUUAACUUGUGGCAAAACAGACAAUGGGAUGUGCUUGGUACUGAGUUUGUUGAAAAUUUUGAGCCAUCACAUGAGUAUAUUGAUUGGCACCAUCGACAAUAUGCCGAUCAUUUACAGUUGUCCGCUUGAUUUCCUCUACCACCACCACCAUCAUCACGUUUGCCAUCUCCACCACUACUAACAUCACUACCACCACCGCCGCCACCACCACCACAGGCACGUCCUUUGUCACCACAAUUACAGGAAACUAUGGCAGGAUGGUCUCCAACUGAUCAACAAACAGAGCUGCUAAACAUGUGUACACAAUAUCUAUAUGUCCCAUCAUUUGAGGUAGCACAUAGUCAUAACACUGCCGUUGAUAGAGGCAAUGGCAGAAACUGUUUGGGAUCAGAUUGUUGGGUUCAUACAAGACCAAGGUACGUCACAGAUGUCAAAUGUGAUGAACCCAACCCAACACCCUCCACACCAGCAGGAGCAUCUAGCUCAGCUGGUGCAACAGCCACUUCGGGUGGUGCCUGGUAGAUUUUCUUUUGAUGCACGAGUAUAUGGUCCAUCCAGUUCAUCUCAUUUAGCAGCUAGAAUGUCACUUGAUUCCAGUAGGAGUGAAUGGGGUCGAGGUAUUUGUCAUGAGUACAACUCUGGAACUAGUGCAUAUAGUCCAAGAAUCGAUCUUAACCUCAUUGAUUCAUCAAUUCAGGAGACAGAUGAAGAAAACCAAGUUGUCUCUCACAGAUUUGGUGCAUACCAUGAUAAGAUGGACUCUGGUGACGAAGAUGAUAAGGAAAACGAGAUGGAUGAUGAUGGUGGUGAUGAGGCUGAUGAUGGCGAUGAGCAACUGCAGGCUAGAACCGGAGACCAUUGAAGAAUUGGAAAAAUGCUAUAAUUUGAGAGUAAAUCCACCACAUUGAAGCCAAAAUAAAUAUACUCCAUCAACAAUUAAGAAGCCUAUGUCUAAUAAAUAUAAAAAUGUGGUUAAUACUGUUAAGAAAAAAUUUAGCAAGUGUGAAUGGUAAUUUCACUACAAAUUGUAAGACUUUAGAAAAAAGUCCUAUCUUUGUACUAAGUAAUAACUAUGUUGAAUUGAUAAUUAUUAUAUGUUGCCUU